AUGAAAAAAUUCAAUAGUUUCACAUUAUUAUUCAGUUAUAAGAAAAAUAUUUCAUCAGGUAGUCGAAAAAUGUUGCACUUCAAAACUUGCUUGAUCUUCAUCUUUGCAAUAAUUGCUAUUGUUUCAUGUGUUCCAUACCAAGUCGUCUUACAUCGGGAAAUUGACCCAACACGUCCACAAGUUAUGAUACCUAUUAGCAGACCGAUUGUGACUCCAACAAUUCUUUAGGAAGAGGUAAUAUACCUAUACCCUAUACACCACCCUAGUAAUAUAAUGCAGAAGGCUAUUGAACUAAACUAUUGAACGAUUUUGUUAUUCCUAUCAUGUAGUUUCACAAUAAAUAGAAAAGAACAUUAA